UUUAAAUGCUCUAUAAAAUCUUCUAGGGCCAGGUGCAGUGGCUGACGCCUGUAAUCCCAACACAUUGGGAGGCUAACAGUGGAGGAUCGCCUGAGUCCAGAAGUUUGAGACCAGCCUGGGCAACAUGAGCAACAAUUGAGACACUUAUGGAACCUAAGAAAGCUAUACAUACACACACAAAUGAAGUCUAUUAUGUUUUGCUAUUGAGAAACACACAAAAGAAUUGUAAGGCACUGGAAAAGUUGCCAAAUCUCUUGAAAUGGAUAAAAGGAAUUCCAAAGCAAUGAAAGGAAUCAUCCCAUGACCAUAGGGAGAACCAUCCUUAAUAUGAAGCCAACACAUGGAUAAUGGCAGAGAAGCAAGAGAACCUCGACUGUUGAUGACAUCAUGAAACCACAGGAUCACCUCAAGGCAACUGGAAUUGGGUUUUCUGUUAACUUGCAAAUCAAAGCUUCCUAACUGAAUAAAGACUCAGUUAAUGUUA